rnacentral:rRNA from 1 species
CCUACGUGAGGCAGCAGUGAGGAAUAUUGGUCAAUGGGCGAGAGCCUGAACCAGCCAAGUCGCGUGAGGGAGUACUGCCCUAUGGGUUGUAAACCUCUUUUGUCGGGGAGCAAAAGCCGGACGUGUCCGGCUGUGAGAGUACCCGAAGAAAAAGCAUCGGCUUACUCCGUGCCAGCAGCCGCGGUAAUACGGAGGAUGCGAGCGGUAUCCGGAUUUUUUGGGUUUAAAGGGUGCGCAGGCGAAUUUUUAAGUUAGCGGUCAAAUCGUGGGGCACAACCCCAUCCAGCCAGUGAAACUGGGGAUCUAGAGUGUGCGAGGGGUAUGCGGGGUGCGUGGUGUAGCGGUGAAGUGCAUAG